rnacentral:rRNA from 1 species
UACUGAUAGCUCAACUAUUAGGCUUCGGGGGAUACUGCCAGACUGGAACCGGGAGAGGUAAGAGGUACUACAGGGGUAGGAGUGAAAUCUUGUAAUCCCUGUGGGACCACCUGUGGCGAAGGCGUCUUACCAGAACGGGUUCGACGGUGAGGGACGAAAGCUGGGGGCACGAACCGGAUUAGAUACCCGGGUAGUCCCAGCCGUAAACGAUGCUCGCUAGGUGUCAGGCAUGGCGCGACCGUGUCUGGUGCCGCAGGGAAGCCGUGAAGCGAGCCACCUGGGAAGUACGGCCGCAAGGCUGAAACUUAAAGGAAUUGGCGGGGGAGCACAACAACGGGGUUGGAGCCUGCGGUUUAAUUGGACUCAACGCCGGACAACUCACCGGGGGCGACAGCAAUAUGUAGGCCAAGCUGAAGACUUUGCCUGAAUCGCUGAGGAGUGGUGCAUGG